GAUGAACGCUGGCGGCGUGCCUAAUACAUGCAAGUCGAGCGAACAGAUGAGGAGCUUGCUCCUCUGACGUUAGCGGCGGACGGGUGAGUAACACGUGGAUAACCUACCUAUAAGACUGGGAUAACUUCGGGAAACCGGAGCUAAUACCGGAUAAUAUAUUGAACCGCAUGGUUCAAUAGUGAAAGACGGUUUUGCUGUCACUUAUAGAUGGAUCCGCGCCGCAUUAGCUAGUUGGUAAGGUAACGGCUUACCAAGGCAACGAUGCGUAGCCGACCUGAGAGGGUGAUCGGCCACACUGGAACUGAGACACGGUCCAGACUCCUACGGGAGCAGCAGUAGGGAAUCUUCCGCAAUGGGCGAAAGCCUGACGGAGCAACGCCGCGUGAGUGAUGAAGGUCUUCGGAUCGUAAAACUCUGUUAUUAGGGAAGAACAAAUGUGUAAGUAACUAUGCACGUCUUGACGGUACCUAAUCAGAAAGCCACGGCUAACUACGUG
rnacentral:rRNA from 1 species